CCUUUGAAAUCUCAUUUUCUGAUGUCUCCGGAAUAUUCCGAUAAGCUCCAAAGCCCGGCGGGAUCUCUGGAGGUGCCUCAUAAAAUCAGAAUAAUUCCUGGGAUGCCACGAGCCCGGGGAUGGUUUUGCCUCGUCUCAAGAAUUGGAAAAAUAUUUAGGGCGAGUUCUCCAACUUAAAAGACACUGGAGCCUCCUGGAAGACAGCUGAGGGGAAACACAGGAGGCAAAUGAAUGCUCCGAGGUCACCCCGGGAGCAGCUGGAGGAACCCACAGUGAACCGGGUUGCCAUUUAUUUGAAUUCCAGAUUUGAAUUCCAGCGGCUCCUGCAGGCCUUGGCUGUGGCUCCACAGGAUCCGCGGGGGGAAGGAGAACCCCCAAAUCCCUAAAUCAGCAGGAUGGAGCUCGGAAUGAAGGACUGGGAGCUCCAAACCCUGGCAGGGAUUUAGGGGGGAGCUGGGAGUGCUUUUGGACGUGUCCUGAAAUGGCUUUUCCAGCUGGGGCCUGGAAAUCUGCGCCAGUGAACACACCCCUGGGUUUUAUUUUAAUAAAUUAUUCCCUUUUCAAAAUGCCCUACGUAGUCACGUUCUGUUGGUGUGCUGUUUUGUGGAGUUGUGGAAUAGUUUAAAGACGGAGCUUUAAAAAUUAUUUAAUUCCAAGCCCUCCUAGGAGCACAGGCCGCAUCCAGCCAGGACUCAGAUGCUUCCAGGGAUGAGGAAUCCACAAUUCCCUGCAAAACCUCCCCACCCUCCCACAGAACAUUUUUAUCCCUAAUUUCUCCCUCAGAAUGAGCAGCGAACUUUGAUUUCUUUCCAUUUUCCCCUCAAAAAAAGUGCUGAGUUUCCCAAAGCUGUGUAAGGCCUUCAAGGCCCAAUCCCUAAUUAAAGCCAAGGCCUUUGUUUAUGUCUUUCGAAACCUGAAGCUGCCACUUAAGAAAUCUGCAAUUAGUGGGGCCUCCAAAUUGCUCCCAUGGAUGGGGUAAUGAUCCCCAGGCAGAAAAUAAUUCCUUUUUAAUGAAAAUCCCGCCUCAAAAAUCACCCCUUAGGAAACGCUGCUGCUGCCAAGGAAUAAUCGUAUCAGUGUGGCUUUAUCUGCUUUUUAACAGUUAAAGAGGGGGGAAACCAAGCAAAUAAAUCAUAAUAAUAAUAGUAAACACAGGAGGGUGAAGCUAUGGGAUUUUUCUUCAAUUAAUUGAAAUAUUAUCAAAGCCUUUUUUGUGUGCAUGAAGUGCUAAUUAAUUCCAGGUUAAUUUUUCAGGACUGAGUUCUGCAUUCUCUCCUUGUGGGUCACACUGGCCCCAUUUGCAUUUCUGACCUUCCCACUCUGCUCCUGUUCCUUCCUCAGGGCUGUUUUCUAUCCCAGAAUUCCAGAAUAAUUGUCUUUUUUGGACUGUGAGACUCAAAAUUAAACUGAAAAAUCAAUUUUUUUCUCAAUUGCUUCCUCUGACAAGCCCCACAUUUUUACUAAAUCUUAAUCAAAGUUAUUUAUUUGUCACUCCUUUAUCAAUAUGAAAAAUUCAGCUCUGAGCCCUUUCCCCUAAAUCCAAAAUUAACAUUUUGAUUUAACAAUUAUUCCCUGCUUCUGUAAUUCCUGAGGAGUCAGUGUUGUCCAAUGUCCAGGUUUUCUCUGCAACAAAUUGCAACAUUUGCCUGUUCUGGGAAAUCUGGCAGAAGUAAAAAAGAAAGUUUUCAAAUAAAAAUCA